GCUGAGAGGAAGCUAAUCCAGCCAUCCCACGGGAUACGAUUAUGGUGUUCGGGCGACUCGGUGACGCGUUAGCUCGCAGAUUGGCCUGAAUACCGAAGAGGCGCGUAAGUAGAGGGGAAGAACAGUCAGUCAGUCGCACAGGCCAGCCUCGUUCCUGAUGGCAAUCGGCACAGCGGUCGUUACUUGCCGAGGAGGUGGUAGCGAGGAGCAUCAGGUGGGGGAGCAGAACACCUGGACGACUUCCUGCCAGGGAGUAAGCACCUCAGUCCUCAGGAAAGAACGUCCGACAUCGGUACCUCGUGCGAAUCUCGGAGCCAUCGAGAGUAGUCCACGAGCUCUGCCAGUGGAUGCACUACCUCGUCGUCGUCGUCGUCGUCGUCAUCGUCGUCGUCGUCGUUGCCGCCACCUUAACCCCGUUCGAAGAUUCUCUCACCUGGCACGUGCGAGCGAAUCCGCGUUCAGUGUGUUCAGCCCGGUAAGGAAAGCAGAGUCUCGUCGUUCGUAUCCGGAAAUGAUGUUUCUCCCGAGGUGCAUUCGGUGAUUUCGCGAGACCAACAGUGCGCUCACCGCGGACGGAUUAAUUGCUGGCCCGAGUCGGUGUGGUAGCGGAACGGUUCCUCCUCGGUCUGCCGCUACCAGGGUACCAGGUGCUGAGUGGACGUUCAAGGUCGGAGUUCACGCGGAAGGUCGCGCCCGCUAAGAAAAUGGAACGCAGGAUCGCGACGCUUUGCUUCCUCCUCGUCGCAUUGGCCUUCGAAGGAUCUAAUAGCGCCGGAUGCGGUUAUCCGGGUGCACCGGCGCACAGCAGCGUGCGCUUUACCGGCACGGACGUCGAAGACGUGUUGGACGAGGAGGACGCUCUCCUUAAGGACAUCAUGUUACCGGAGGGCACCGUGGCUACGUACUCCUGUGAACGAGGAUUCGAGCUCCUGGGACCCGCGAGAAGACAAUGCCAAUCCGACGGCAUGUGGGCGCCGGAAGGCGUGCCCUUCUGCGUUCUCAACGUGGCCGGCGGCAAGGCGCCGAUGCAGUUGAGCAACUUGGACAACGGACUUCCGCAGCGCGCGGUCGACGGAAGUAGCAGUCAGAUUUACGCGCCGCAGACGUGCACCCUGACGAAGCCCGAUCCCAAACCGUGGUGGUACGUGAACCUGCUGGAGCCGUACAUGGUGCAGCUGGUGCGUCUGGACUUCGGCAAGCCGUGCUGCGGUGUUGGCAUCCCCGGCACCAUUGUCGUUCGAGUCGGCAACAAUCGGCCGGACUUAGGAACGAAUCCCGUCUGCAACCGCUUCACCGGGUCAUUGGAAGAAGGACAGCCGCUUUUCUUACCUUGCAAUCCACCGAUGCCCGGAGCCUUCGUCUCCGUGCACCUGGAGGCCAUGUCGCCCUCCGAAAUCCCGGUGCAGCUCUCCCUGUGCGAGGCAUUCGUCUAUACCGAUCAGGCACUGCCGAUCGAGAGGUGUCCUCAAUUCCGGGACCAACCGCCGGGGUCGACGGCGACCUACAACGGAAAGUGCUACAUAUUCUACAAUCGCCAGCUGAUGUUCAGAGAGGCGUUGUCCUUCUGCCACAAUCGCGGCGGUACUCUCGUGGACGAGAGCAACCCCGCCCUGCAGGGUUUCAUCUCGUGGGAGUUGUGGAGACGACACAGGAGCGACACGUCCAGCCAGUAUUGGAUGGGCGCGGUUAGAGACCAGAAGGAUCGGACGUUGUGGAGGUGGACCGAAAGCGGCGAAGUCGUGUCCGUCUCGUUCUGGGACCUGCAGCAGGGCCUGGUGGAGGACUGCGCCCGAUAUGACGGCGGCAGAGGCUGGCUUUGGUCCGAUGUACCUUGCACAGCCCGGCACAGCUUCAUUUGCCAACAUCAGCCUCGAGCUUGCGGCAGACCUGAGCAGCCGCCGAACUCCACGAUGACUGUGAUCAACACAGUCCAGGCAUCCAGGCGCUCCGCUGGCGCGUACGAAGUCGGUGCGACGGUGGAGUACAGCUGCAACGCGGGCAGCCUUCUUAUCGGGCCGCUGAACCGUACCUGUCUCGACACUGGUUUCUACAACGACUUCCCACCGGUGUGCAGAAACAUCGAGUGCGGCUAUCCAGCGAGCAUAAAACACGGUGGCUACACACUUAUCAACAACACCGUCAGUUUCCUCAGUCAAGUGCUCUAUUCCUGCGACGAGGGAUACGAGAUGACCGGACGCGCCCGAUUAAUUUGCGACUCCGACGAACGCUGGAACGGACCACCACCGCGAUGCGAGCCGAUACUUUGCGAUCCACCGGCUAUGGUCGCGCACAGCCAAAAUGACGUGCAGACGAUCGACGAGGACGGGAGGAGGAUCUCGAUAGGGAACAGUACCAAUCAAGGUGUGCUGGCCGGUAACAUCGUCGUUUACACGUGUGACGAGGGUUACCGGCUCGUCGGUUUCCGGCAGUUGCUCUGCUUGACUACUGGACUGUACGAUCACGUCGCACCCACGUGCGUAGAAGAGCCACGGACAACCGUGACUGUUCCCUCUCGGGCGACGUUACGUCCGUUGAGCCCGAAGGUCCGGCCGUACUUGACACCGCGAAUCAGGACGACGACGAGCGCAUCCACGGUCAUCACUACCAGCACGACCUUGCCACCCAGGAACAUACCGAACACGGCGGAAUUACCGGCCACAGUGAGGGAGACCGUAUCGAAGAGGCCGAGCGUCGGGCUGAACAAACCCGCACCAUCUCCGUCAACGGUGCUCAACGACGCCGGCAGUGAUCACCCGCAGGACAACGAGAUAUCCGGAAGCGGAGUCGACCAUGCUCAAGCGGGCGUCGGAGCGGCCGUGCCGGAACCGUCUGGCCCGUUCAGGGUGGACAGCGCGGAGCAGCCAAGCGGCACUCACCAGGCCAAGCUGAAUCUCGGCGCCGUGAUCGCUCUGGGGGUGUUCGGCGGCUUCGUGUUUCUCGCCGCGGUGAUCACAACGGUCGUAAUUCUUAUACGCAGCGGCAGUGGCAGCGUCAGAGGAAGGCGCCGCAGGGGGCUCGGUGGGGUUGGUGCGCUGAGGGGUGGCGAUAGUGGUGGCCUUGGGAGGGGUGACACCGGAAUGCCCUCGCGUUGGUAUACGCUACUGGCGCUGCCCUUCCCCGACCAGCACCUGGGGCGCCGCGACCUCACGGCUCGCCGCGGUAGCGACCACCCUUACUCCUUCAGCCUGUCGGCGGCGCAUCGUGCCGGCUACUUCUCAAAUCCUUCUCUAUAGACCGUCACCAUCACCGCCACCGCCACCACCGCCGCCGCCACCGCCGCCGCCGCCCCUCCCUCAUACUCCCGCCGCCGAUAAAGAGAGAAAGCGAGAGAGAACCGCUCCCUAUAAAGCCCGCAACCACCACUACCACCCCAACCCUCCACGCAACCACCGCCCACCACAUCAACCAUCAUCACGUACCACCAACUACCACGCGCCACCUUCGCGAGUGAUACUAGUCAAGAAACCGUGGAAGAAGUAGUAAGCAUUAUCGUCACCGUGCGUCGCCCGACUGCAACACCGUGGCCAGCUUCGACAGCAGCUCCUCGGAGAGUCGGGGAGGUCUGAAUCGCUAUUACCGUCAAGCCUGGGAGAACCUGCACGAGACCGCCGGCCACAAGGCCGGCCAUCCGCCGCUCCGACGCAAG
rnacentral:misc_RNA from 1 species